CCUUGAGGGUGAGGUGGGACUCCAGUCUGCAGAGUGAGAGCAAUCCUUUACAUCUGAACAAUUCCGUGUUCCUGGUGGAGGAUCAUCGAGAGCCAAUUGUACACCACCGGCUUUUUCUUGGAUACACCUUACAGCACCAUGUCCCGCACUCUCCUAGCUUUCCACCUCCUCUCACUUUUCUUCACUGGCUGGUGUGAGACUCCACAUUGCCCCUCAAUGGCCACCUCAUGGAAGGCCGAUGUCCCCGGCAAAGCAAGUGCGGUGAGCACAUGGUGGCGGUGUGUGCAGCGGCCGAGUGUGCAGGGGCAGAACGUGCAAUAUCCGAGCGUGAAGUUGCUUGGGCGUCUCCUGCAGGCAGCGGCCCGGAGCGGAAAGCGUCACGUGGACGAGUUUGUAGGUCUUAUGGGACGCCGUGAGCCAGAGAUGAUAAAAGAAAAUGUUCAAUCAGAUAAGAAAUCUAACGAGUUUUAUGGACUAAUGGGGCGCUCUGCCGACGCUCUUGGUAAGUAUUUGUUGUCUCUUCGACACGUACAUUAUUGUUUGUCUGCAUUUGGCCCCUGUAUUAUAAUUGAGGUGAAAACUGAAAC
ensembl:lincRNA